rnacentral:lncRNA from 1 species
UCUGAUCUUUUCCUUUUCGACAAGCCAAUGCCCGCACACACAUUACUACAGCACACUUUAUUAUCAACCAAACCACGCUGGUUAUACGAAAGAGAAAGGUAAAGAAAAGAAAGCAAGCACAGUGGGUAUGGAUGCAAAACAAGGAGCUUAAGCAUAAGCAUCAGGGUUUUGAAAGAGGAAGGCCUCAACAGCUUUGAACAGAUAGAGGAGGUUCUCUUUCAUUUGUUUGGCCUCGUCAUCUGAGAGAGUUGCAUCACCGAUGGUAUCGUAGUCUACCUUCAUCUUGGCCUCUGUUCCGCCAUUAGCAGCCUCGUCAAACUUCACUUCAUAGACCAGAGAGUUGAACCUGGUCCCGAGGCGCUCUCCUUCGAUCACAGUGUAUUUGAAGAAAGACUUCUCCUCAUCGAACACGUCUGUCCUACCCUUAAUAAAUCGGUAUUCUUGCACCACUGGCCAUGAGGAUAGAAAAAUACUAUGUUAAGAUGAGAAAUUAGGACAUAACUGUAUCACCUAUUACCUUUAAGAUGAUCAUGUUAGAAGAAGAAAAUGAUUUUGCCUUGAAUGAAGUAAUUCUAUGAUAUCAGAGAGAGAGAGAGAGAGAGAGGAUCGACAUUUUCAAACGAUGACUCUCCAGGACUGCCAAUUGCAGAGAGACAGAGAGAGGAUUGACAAUUUCAAACAACGACUCUCCGGGACUGCCAAUUGCUAUAUAUAUAUAUAUAUAUAGGUGCGGUUUUUUAUAAGGGUGCAACCUUGAACAAUCCAAUUAAGGUGCACCUUAAAAUUUUAUUAUAACAUGUAAUUUUGUUGUAAAAAAUACUUAUUAUUAUCUUAAAAUCUAUUUUCAUAUUUAAUUAAAAAAUUUAAAUUUCAAAAAUGGUUAAAAUCAAGUAGAUCUAUAAAUAUAUGAAAAUCUUGAAAAUAGACAGUCUAGAUAAUGUGUUGCAAGAUGCACUAUUAUCGGAACGUCAAAUUUUUUUUUUUCAUAUUCAUGCAUCUCGAUGUCGAGAUGAUUGAUUAGAAGGUUUUUUUCAACAUUAAAACAAUAUUUUUGAUAGAUUUUUGAGGUGCAUCUAUGAUUCUACAUUUUAAAGUUACAACCUUAUAUAAACUAUUCUAUAUAUAUAUAAUUUAAUAUUUCAAGCUUAGACUUGAGGCCUUCGAUUUUCGAGGGCUUUUUCACUUAACACCAUUUGCAAAAGUUUUCACGCUAGGAUGAGAUGUCACUUCGUCUUUAGAUUGAGUUGAAGAUUUGAAUAGACCUUCCAAAGGGGGCAUCUCUCAAUAUGUAUUGCCCAUAAAAAUCCAUGGCCAUGAGGUACAUCACCGUCCAUUUAAAUGGUUGGAUAACGAUGGACAGAGAAGGACCCACACAACUAUGAAAUAAAUAAAUAGUGGGGUCCAUUUCCUUGCUGGUACUAAAUGUCUAAAACUCUUUUUCUUUUAAGAAUAUUUAAUAAAAUAUGUUUAAGACCACCCUAGAUCCAUCACUAGGCGGAAUUUUUAAAAUGGGACCCAUUUGAAUUUAAAUGGAACUUCAUUUAAGAUUUUUCCUUUUAUUUUAUUUUUGUUGAAAUCAAAGAACACCUUUUUUUUUUUUUUGGGUAGAUCAAUAGGGAAUAUAGGGUUUUGUUAGGUAGAUUAACCGAAGGGUCCUACCCGAUUUUAGAAAUAAUUAACGGUUUUGGAUCACAUCACAUCAUAGUCUAGACCAGUAUUUGAGACUCAAGUGGUGCUACCACCGCAACUUCAACCCGAUUUCUGAUACCGGGGACACUUGAUUGAUUGCAUGAGACUUAAAAAUAAAACUCUAUUGGGGUGCAGCCACAGCCAACCAAUUCCACCUGAUCUAAUUCUCAAAGGUAAUUUAAGCUAAUUUUUUCAGUGCAAAGCAUCGGGAAGAAAGAGAGGGAAAAUUUGAAUUCACCGGGGUUGCUAUAGAUGGGGGGCAGAGAAAUCGAAGUUUUCCUAGUCUAAAGAGAGAGAGAGAGAGUUGCAGAAAAGUUAAAGACAUUGGUGGUGCAAACCUUCGGUGAAGUUAAACCGUUUGACGGUGCCAACUCCACCAUCUCCCUCACAUAUAUCAUAUUAAGUGAGGCAUCACCUUUAGGACGAUGUUGUGCACGUCCUUAAUGCUCGCGUUCCACAGUCUCGCGGCUGGGAGGGGAGAGACAUACUCAUUGGAUAGAGUGCCGGAAACCAUAUUUUCCGAUUGGUGUAAAAACAAACAAGAGAAAGAGAAAGAGAGAGAAAAGGAAAGGGAUAGAGAUAGAGAUAGAGAUUGUGGAACUGAUAACGAUGAUGAGUGCAGAGUUAGAGAGGUAUUUAUAGAAGAAAGUAGUGUGGGUUGGUGAGAGUGAGAGUGAGAGUGAGAGUGAGAGUGAGAGUGAUUUUAGGGCAUAAGUCAUUAAAAAAUUGAUAUGAAUGUGAUAUUUGAGAGAGUGGUUGUUGCGUGCUGGGAGGAAUGAGGGGCGUGGACAAGUAAGCGAUAUUAUUUAAAUAUUUUUUAAGAGAGGACAGUAUAUGUGAAAGCAAGACCCGGUAUUUUUUUAUUAAGGGUGAGUGGUGUAACAAUUAGAGAAUUUAAAUUAAUAUAUUUGGCUGGUUUUUUUGGACGCCUCAAGAAAUUCUUAAAUGACAGGUAGAUUUUUAGGUCAUCGUUGAAAUUUUUAUAAUAAAAUUACGACGAGCUUCGGAGGUGCGCUUUAAUUAGAUUGUUCAAGGUUGAUACCUUAUACAAACACCCUUUCAUAAUGGAAUAAGUUCCCCUGGGGUUGAAAUCUUGUACUGUAAGAAAAAGGCGCAUUUCAAAAAUUUAUAUUGUUCUGACCGAAAAACCCUCUAAUUGAUGAUCAUCUUGACAUUGAAAUAUAUGGAUGUGAAGAAGAAAAAAAGAUUUUAAAGUCUCAAAAAAAAAUAUAUCUUGUAAUAAAUUAUCUAGACCAUUUAUUCUAAUGAUUUUCAUCUAUUGUAAAUCUGCACCAUCAAACUUUCGUAAAUUUUUACCAGUAUGGGAGACUCGGAGAAGCAUGCGUACUAUAAAAGAAAAAGAAAGGAAGUGCUUUUGUUUCACACAAAUUCUUUGUAUUUGGGGCAAAACAAACACUUAGUUCAUGGAAAAAUAAAUGAAAAUAGUCUGAAGCUUUAAUAGUCAUACGAGAAAAAUGAAGAUAUAACAAUUAGUUUUUUAUUUUAUUAUCACUAUCUAAAAGUUCAGGAGUAAAAUUCCAGUUUUACCAAAAUUUGAGGGUUGGAUUUUUCAUGCCUAUCAGACGUAAGAACUGAGGAAUCUCUCCCAUGUAAAGCAUGAUUUGAUUAAACUUUGGAAUAAAACAAGAGAAACUAAGCUAGAAGAAAGUACAGCAAGGGAUUAUUUUUUGUGACUUGCAAACCUUAAUUAAUAUAGCCAAGACAAUAAUAAUUUUCUAUCAUUUUAAAAGCUAUGAAAUCUCAGAAAUUUCCUAUGGCUUUUCCUUUUAUGAGAAAGUGGGAUAUGGAGAUGGAUCAAGGGUGCCUCCAUUAAUUCCCUAAAUAAAUUUUAAGUGAUAAUUGGAGAUAGGAAAUAGUCAUGGGAUUACAGGAGGAAAUAAGAUUUCUAUUUUUAUUCUGGGUGUGGUUUGUAUAAGGCUGAGACCCUCAACAAUCAAAGUAGGGCGUACUUUCAAAUAGUGCCAAAAUAUAUUGUUUCAGUAUUAGAAAUCUUUAUAAUAGCUUGAAAACUUAUUUUCAUCUCGAAUUAUAAAAUUUGAAGUUAAAAAUAUUGUAGAUCGAGUAGAUCUAUAAACACUUGAAAAUCUUGAAAAUUGACAAGAUAAAUUAUACAUUACAAGAUGCACUAUUUUUAAUACUUGAAAUCUAUUUUUUUUUAUGUUCAUACAUCUUGUGCUCGAGAUGAUCGAAUUGAGGGUCUUUCAACAUCAAACCAGCCUUUUUUAAUGAAUUUGUUAGGUGCUCCUUAGUUUAACGAUAAAGGGAAGGGAAGGGAAGGGAUAGAGAGAGGAAAACAAAAUAGUUACAUUAGGCAAUAUUAAAUGCUUUUUUCUUCAUGGUAGAGAAAAUGUCAUUUAUCAAAAAUUUAAUGUAGAUGAUAUAUGUGGUAAGAAUAAACAAAUGGAUUUACAUAAGGGUCUUCAAACCUGACGGCCAAAGAAGUAUUAUCAUUUUCCUGCUCAUGGGCCCACAUCAAGAAGCAAGUAGGCGUAUAACAAUCUUCAAUUUUCUUUCCUUAGCAAUAACAAAUAUUAACUGAUGAUUCCUAAGAGUAGGUACUUUAGCCGCUUUUAUUUUAGAAUUAAAUGCUUAUAUGAUUUGUCCUUUAUAUAACAACUCAUUGUGGUACAAUGACAAAGGUUUUUGACAUAUUUGAUUGAUAAAUAUAUUAAAUUUCACCAACCUCAUGUGCGUGGCACAAGGAGGGGACAAAAAUAAAAGCAAUACAAUCUUAAGAGAUUGGUCAAUAGUCGUGAAUUUGGAGUUUAUGUCGACAUUUGUUUAUAGUAUUCAUGUAAAAAGUAUAAAUAGGAUAUUUCUUUCAUUAAUAGCUAUUUUUUAUGGUUCUAUUUGGGCUUGAAUAAACCUUUUGAGGUAGUUUCAUAUGCUUUUGAAGUUUUUCCCAUUUUUCUAAAGAAAGAUGAGGUGGGGAAGAGCCUGGGCUUAAUUCUAAGCUGAAUUUCUACGAAGGAUAGGGCUCUGUCCCCACUGACUCACCCCAAAAGAAAAUAAAAAAUGAUGAGGUGGGGAAGAAGGUGGGUGUCACUGGUGACUGACCUUGACUAAGAACGAGUCUAGGUAAGGUGCAUAUGGAUAAGGGUUAAUACCAUUGAUGUGGCAGCACUACAGUUAGAGGACCAGUCAAGCAUUGAGAACAAAUUUCCCUUACAAUAAAAACUAAUGGUUAAUUAAGUUUUUGGUAAAUUUUUAGUAAGAGUAAAGGAUGGGCACUGGUGGCUGACCUUGACUACAAAUGAGUUUAGGUAAGGUGCAUAUGGAUAAGAGUUAAUACCAUUGAUGUGGGAGCACUAUUGUUAGAGAACCAGUCAAGCAUUGAGAACAAAUUUCCCUUGCAAUAAAAACUAAUGGUUAAUUAAAUUUUUAGUAAGAAUAUCUUGCUUGUAUGUUGGUAUCAAGGUUGGAAUUUCAACCAAUGGGAAUCAAUUAAAUAAGAGAAAUUUAUAAAAAUACCCAUAGGAAAUUGACUAUUUAACAUUGUACCCAUAUCUUUUGAUUUUAUUUCAUAAUACAUAUGAGAAAACACAUGAACAUGAGCUAGAAUAUUUCAACAUGGGUAAAUUGUUAAAUAGUUCAUCUCUCUCAGGGGUAUAUUGAUAAACUUCCCAAUAAACAAAAUAUACUACUCUCAACACGCACAAAAAAUGGUAAAUCUUUGGUCAUACACAAAAUUGAUACAAAUAAAAGGAGGUAGAAAACUUACUUUUCCAAUUUAGGAUAAAUCCCUCUUCUCAUACACAAAUUCGAGAAGUAAAAAACACAAAACUUAUUUCACUCUGAUCUUUUCCUUUUCGACAAGCCAAUGCCCGCACACACAUUACUACAGCACACUUUAUUAUCAUCCAAACCACGCUGGUUAUACGAAAGAGAAAGGUAUAGAAAAGAAAGCAAGCACAGUGGGUAUAGAUGCAAAACAAGGAGCUUAAGCAUAUGCAUCAGGGUUUUGUAAGAGGAAGGCCUCAACAGCUUUG